rnacentral:rRNA from 1 species
AACGAACGCUGGCGGCAUGCCUAACACAUGCAAGUCGAACGAGACCUUCGGGUCUAGUGGCGCACGGGUGCGUCACGCGUGGGAACCUGCCCUUAGGUUCGGAAUAACUCCCCGACAGGGGUGCUAAUACCAGAUAAUGUCUUCGGACCACAGAUUUAUCGCCUUUGGAUGGGCCCGCGUUGGAUUAGCUAGUUGGUAGGGUAAAAGCCUACCAAGGCGACGAUCCAUAGCUGGUCUGAGAGGAUGAUCAGCCACACUGGGACUGAGACACGGCCCAGACUCCUACGGGAGGCAGCAGUGGGGAAUAUUGGACAAUGGGCGAAAGCCUGAUCCAGCAAUGCCGCGUGAGUGAUGAAGGCCUUAGGGUUGUAAAGCUCUUUUACCCGGGAUGAUAAUGACAGUACCGGGAGAAUAAGCUCCGGCUAACUCCGUG